UUUUUUACUAACCAGUGUGUGAGUUUCUCUCCCCAGAUACCUCCUGCCUUACCUAAGAGGGCUGCUGGACUUGCUGCCAGCCAACCUCCAGAACUGGUGCUUCAACGACAUCAAGCAGAUUCAGACAGGAUGGACCAGAGAUGACGGGAGGCAGAUCCAGGACUAGUGCAUGACUCGAGAGACCGUGCAAUUAACACAAGAGCCAUCUCUCCAAGACCCCCGAUCUUAUGAAAGAUCAGAUCAAGAAAGCAGACAAGGAACAGCCCAUGAAGUGAAUCCAGAUUAUGGCAGAGGGGACGAUUAUUACAGUGACGCAAAAGCCCUGCAACAGACUGGUGACCUGUCCAGGGUGUCCCCUGCCUUCGCCCGAGUCAGCUGGGAUAGACUCCAGCACCCCCCGCGACCUUAGUGAGGAUAAAGUGGUGUAUAGAGAAUGGAUGGAUGGUUGAAGUGGAUGCCGAACAGCGAGCCAGGUUCCAGUGAGCUUCGUAAAGUGAGGAGCGGAUCAACACGCGUGGAGGGUAAAUGCAGAGUUCAAGAGAUUGACAACGUUUCCGCUCCAGUCCUGUUUCUUCUCUCAGCUGGACAUUUUGUCUGACAAACUUCUAACCUUGUAUCAGAAGAGGGGAGGACGAAUUGGAAAGAAGCUGAAGCAGCUGAUGGAACACACGACAGACGUAAGAGGAGAGAGAGAAGUGGUUUUAACCCAUAAGAAGCCAGGCAUAUGUUUUUCCUUUUAGAAAAGUGAUGGGGGAAAUAACGGAAUAAAGAGACUUCGAUUAAGACAUUUCUGCAGUCCAUGUAGAAUCCCAGCGUCCAGUCUGUAAAAUGGUGCUUUUGGUGUUAAAGGAGACAUUAUGCAACAUCAACUUUUUAGAGCUUUUACCAAUGUUAUGACAUUGUUCCCUCAUCAGAACAUAUCUGAAGUGCUGUUUCACUUCAUUCACUCUGUUUUCAGUAAUCCUGUUUCUUCUACUGCUGAAGUGCUCCAAUCUGUACUUACAUAUACAGAAUUAUAUUGUCAUAAAUGAAACACAAAACUGUCUUCUACAUUUUUGAAUUCCAUAAUCCAUCAGCAGACCUUUUUCUGAGCAGUUCUGUGCUCCAAAAUGUUCAUCACAGCGUCAUUCCCACUGUUGGCUGCAGAGUUUAUUUAGACUUGAAGAUGUAACUGAAGCUAGAGCUAGUUAAUCUGCUGUGGUUGGUUGAAUCUUCCUGUCACUUUCUAAGAGGAUGACCAGUAGGAAAAGAUGGCUAGAAGUAGACGGCGUGUGUUUUUGUGCAUAGAACUGUAUGAUUUAGGAAUGGUACUGAGAUCUGUUCAGCAUCCAGGGAAGAAGAUGUCAGUUCUGGGAGGGAGUGUGUUUUGAAGGCAUUAUGCGUCUACUUCAACGAAGACCCUGACAGCCUGAUUAAAGAGCAUGUGGUGAGUAUAAUAUUCAUGGUUGCAUAUAAUGGAAACAUGUUUCAAGUAUUAAAAGGUAGUGUAUGUAGCAGCAUGCUCUCUUAAUGAUUAAAAAAGGCAGUACAGUCACAAUUCAACCCGGGUUACCUAAAGCUGCAUGUCGAGAACUCACGCUGAUUCUUACCUACUUUCAGUGAAACAUUGCAGGUAAAGAUCAAUUUGAAACUUUUACUGUAAGUUUCUGGCUUAUAGAAAUUGAAAUUCCUGAUGGAGAUUUUAGAUAUUAUUAUUUAGUCUUUGAAUAAACUAGUUAUUACAGAAAAAUGUAAUUUCACUUCAUUUUUGGGGGUAAAAACUCAAUAAAUCAGGUUUUAGAAUUAGAAGUCAAUUUAAAAAAAACACCACACACAAGUUCAAAAUAUUAAAGUACAAGACUGGAAAAUGUGGUGUCUGUAGGUUUCUACUUGAAACACUAAAGCAACUUUUUUGCUGAAACUAUGCAUCUGACAUUUUAAUAGUACUGUCUACUGUUCCAGUCCAUUUUUGCCAUUUUACUGUAUAUUUGUGUUAUUAGCAGGUUUGCGCUCCAAAACAGUGUGUGCUGUUGCUCGUGGUCACACAUGAACAGCAAUCUGGAUUUUUCUGAGCGGGUAUGAAGAGCCCAUAUUUGGUGGAUGUGGAUGGAGUUUUCAUGUUUUGCUCCACUUAGAGAGCAGAUAUUGUUCCUAGUGUGUGAGAAAAUGCAUUUUGAGAAAACAGCCUUUGAAUUUACAUCAUGUCAAAUAUUUUUGUGAAUUAAGCAAUGUUUCAGUUAUUAAUAGUAAAAUCAAUAUUUGAUUUGAACUAGGCCUCUGUCAAGAUAACACAAUUUGAAGUUUGAAAAAUGUUGCAAUAAACAAUAAUAUUGAAGACCAUUUUAAGGCACUGAAGUUGUAACUCUGACAUAAAAAUGACAGUAAACCGUAUUCUAAAUUUACUUAACCUUACCUUUAAUAAGACAAGUUGCAAUAAACAUGAAGCACAAUGAAACACCAUCAACUUAAGUAGAAAAGCUCAAAUAUUACAAAAAUAACAAAUGCCAGUGUACAAAAUAAAUAUUGAGCCCCAAAAAUAUAUAUUUUUUAAUCUGUCAUUUAAUGAACAACAAAGGUCGGAAACGUCACUCUGUGGUGUAAGCAGUAAAAUGUUUGAGAGCCAAUUAGUUGUGCAGAUUUUUCUUCUACCUCUAUUUAGAUUCCAUAAACUUGUGAAUGUUCCUUGGAGAUUUAUUUACACGACCCGUUUGUCCCACUUGUUCCAGCCGUUACUAUUUACCACACCAUGCAUCACUCCAACUUUUUCAUAUGUGGCAUCCAGAAGUCGUUAAAGUGUACUGACUUUUUAUAUCAUUGUAGGGAAACAGCAAAGCCAUCUUUGUGGACUACGCAGAAGACACCACUGUGGGAAUCUUCACUGCAAAACAACAUGAGGCCCAGUCCAAAGCAGAUGACAUCGGAAUCAUCCUGGAAGGCCAAAUAGUCCUCCAAGAACUGGACAAUGUUCCACUGGCCCUCCUCUUUGGACUCCUGUAUGCCCUAAACAUGGACUAUCUCCUCAGCAGAAGUACGUUUUUUGAAGUGGUCCAAAUGGUGAUCAUGGAGCUUGAUGGGGGCAGCCUUUCCAAAAAAGCUCAGGUCCUGAAAAACGGACUUCUUGAAUACUGGUUUAUGAUGUUUGAUGUUUCCAUUUUGCACUGGCCUUUGGGCCUCAUGUUGUCUUGCAGUGUUUGUUUAAAAAAAGUUGCUAUUGAUAGGUUUAUGCAAUUGUUAUUCAAGUGUUUCACUUAUCUGUGUUUAAAAAAAAAAAAGACAAGGUCGGUCUGGAUGGUCAGACUGUCUUUGUUCACAUGUUUAUUUCUUGUGGCUGUAAGUCACUCCAUAUUUGAAUGUAAUCCUAAUCCUACCUAAUAGUUGUGAAGUAUACUGGCUGAACACUUGGUUCAUAUUGUCUUAACAGAGAUGCAAACUUGACAUUUUAAAGGUUUUAACCAUGUUAUCUGAGGUCCCCAAAGGAGUGUUUUGAAGCCUCAAUUAUGCAUAUGUGCGCUUUAAGUUGAAUGUGGAAGGAGCACAUUUCUGUAGAUUAAAUGCAUUGUUUGAGAUGAAAUAUUUCACUGUUAAAACAGGUAAGAAAUAUUAAAUCAGCCUGUUUGAUGAUUGA